GAAGAGCCUCCUUCAAAAGGCAGCUUGCCUGUGAGUCGUGGCAAAAAGCUGGAAUGACCCUGCCAGGUCUUAGAAGCUUUAAGAUUAACUGCAUUGAACUUGAUACAUAGAAAACAGCACCUUGAAAAUGAAUCAUCUGCUACUUCAGUAUUUUCUAAUUGCAAUCACUCCCUCUCGGGGCAUGUAAUUAAUUUACGGAGUUUAAAAAAAAGAAGUC
rfam:Tursiops truncatus cont1.417204, whole genome shotgun sequence.